AUAAUGGAGAGUUUGAUCCUGGCUCAGGACGAACGCUGGCGGCGUGCCUAAUACAUGCAAGUCGAGCGGAACCAUUGGAGCUUGCUCCUUUGGUUUAGCGGCGGACGGGUGAGUAACACGUGGGCAACCUGCCCUGCAGAUCGGGAUAACUCCGGGAAACCGGUGCUAAUACCGAAUAGUUUGCGGCCUCUCAUGAGGCUGUACGGAAAGACGGUUUCGGCUGUCACUGCAGGAUGGGCCCGCGGCGCAUUAGCUAGUUGGUGAGGUAACGGCUCACCAAGGCCACGAUGCGUAGCCGACCUGAGAGGGUGAUCGGCCACACUGGGACUGAGACACGGCCCAGACUCCUACGGGAGGCAGCAGUAGGGA
rnacentral:rRNA from 1 species